GCACGAAUGGCGUAACGAUCUCCCCGCUGUCUCAAACGUGGACUCAGCGAAAUUGAACUGUGUGUCAAGAUGCACACUACCCGCGGUUAGACGGAAAGACCCCAUGAACCUUUACUCUAGCUUUGCACUGGCAUCAGGAUUGUGAUGUGCAGGAUAGGUGGUGGGCUUUGAAACCGGGACGCCAGUCUCGGCGGAGCCUCCCUUGAGAUACCACCCUUCGCACUCUUGAUGUCUAACCGCGACCCGUUAUCCGGGUCCGGGACCCUGCAUGGUGGGGAGUUUGACUGGGGCGGUCGCCUCCCAAAUCGUAACGGAGGCGCGCGAUGGUUGGCUCAGACCGGUCGGAAAUCGGUCGUUGAGUGCAAUGGCAGAAGCCAGCCUGACUGCAAGUCUGACAAGACGAGCAGAGACGAAAGUCGGUCAUAGUGAUCCGGUGGUCCCAAGUGGGAGGGCCAUCGCUCAACGGAUAAAAGGUACUCUGGGGAUAACAGGCUGAUGAUGCCCAAGAGUCCAUAUCGACGGCAUCGUUUGGCACCUCGAUGUCGGCUCAUCUCAUCCUGGGGCUGGAGCAGGUCCCAAGGGUAUGGCUGUUCGCCAUUUAAAGAGGUACGUGAGCUGGGUUUAGAACGUCGUGAGACAGUUCGGUCCCUAUCUGCCGUGGGUGCAGGAUACUUGAUGGGAGUUGCCCCUAGUACGAGAGGACCGGGGUGAACGAUCCACUGGUGGACCAGUUAUCGUGCCAACGGUAGUGCUGGGUAGCUAUGAUCGGACAGGAUAAACGCUGAAGGCAUCUAAGCGUGAAGCCCCCCCAAAAACUAGGUAUCCCUUGAGGGCCGUGGUAGACCACCACGUCGAUAGGCCAGAGAUGUAAGCGCGGCAACGCGUUCAGUUGACUGGUACUAAUUGCCCGAUUGGCUUGAUUUGAUCCAG
rnacentral:rRNA from 1 species